rnacentral:tRNA from 1 species
UUGGAUUGUAUAAAAUGGCAUUAAACAUGCUUUUACCCUUAUGGGGUGUAAGAGGUCGAAGGUUCGAAUCCUUCCGUCCCGACCA